AGAGUUUGAUCCUGGCUCAGGACGAACGCUGGCGGCGUGCUUAACACAUGCAAGUUGAACGGUAUGUCAUGGAAGCUUGCUGAAGUGACAUAUAGUAGCGAACGGGUGAGUAAUGCAUGAGAAUUUAUCCUUAGGAGGGGGACAACAGCUGGAAACGGCUGCUAAUACCCCGUAUGCCGGAAGGUGAAAGGUGCGAGAGUGCCGCCUGGGGUUGAGCUCAUGUCCUAUCAGCUAGUUGGUGGGGUAACGGCCUACCAAGGCGACGACGGGUAGCCGGCCUGAGAGGGUGAACGGCCACACUGGAACUGAGACACGGUCCAGACUCCUACGGGAGGCAGCAGUGGGGAAUUUUGGGCAAUGGGGGAAACCCUGACCCAGCGACGCCGCGUGAGGGAAGACAGCCUUCGGGUUUUAAACCUCUUUUGUACGGGAAGAUAAUGACGGUACUGUACGAAUAAGUCCCGGCUAACUACGUGCCAGCAGCCGCGGUAAUACGUAGGGGACGAGCGUUGUCCGGAAUUACUGGGCGUAAAGGGCGCGCAGGCUGCGUUACAAGUCAGCUGUUAAAUGCAUGGGCUUACCCCAUGAGUGCGGUUGAAACUGUAGUGCUAGAGUACUGUAGAGGCAAGCGGAAUUCCCAGUGUAGCGGUGAAAUGCGUAGAUAUUGGGAGGAACACCGGUGGCGUAGGCGGCUUGCUGGACAGUAACUGACGCUGAGGCGCGAAAGCCAGGGGAGCAAACGGGAUUAGAUACCCCGGUAGUCCUGGCCGUAAACGAUGAAUGCUAGGUGUGGGUGUAGCGAUACAUCUGUGCCGUAGUUAACGCGUUAAGCAUUUCGCCUGGGGAGUACGAUCGCAAGAUUGGAACUCAAAGGGAAUUGACCGGGGCCCCCACCAACGGUGGAACACGUGGUUUAAUUCGAUGCAAACCAAAAACCUUAACUGGGUUGACAUGUACGUAUUACUGAGAUGAAAGUCGAGGGACCUUUUUUU
rnacentral:rRNA from 1 species